AGAGUUUGAUCCUGGCUCAGAUUGAACGCUGGCGGCAUGCCUUACACAUGCAAGUCGAACGGCAGCACGGGAGCAAUCCUGGUGGCGAGUGGCGAACGGGUGAGUAAAGUAUCGGAACGUGCCCAGUCGUGGGGGAUAACGUAGCGAAAGUUACGCUAAUACCGCAUACGAUCUAUGGAUGAAAGCGGGGGAUCGAAAGACCUCGCGCGAUUGGAGCGGCCGAUAUCAGAUUAGGUAGUUGGUGGGGUAAAGGCUCACCAAGCCGACGAUCUGUAGCUGGUCUGAGAGGACGACCAGCCACACUGGGACUGAGACACGGCCCAGACUCCUACGGGAGGCAGCAGUGGGGAAUUUUGGACAAUGGGCGCAAGCCUGAUCCAGCCAUGCCGCGUGCAGGAUGAAGGCCUUCGGGUUGUAAACUGCUUUUGUACGGAACGAAAAGGUUUGGCCUAAUAAGCUGAGCUCAUGACGGUACCGUAAGAAUAAGCACCGGCUAACUACGUGCCAGCAGCCGCGGUAAUACGUAGGGUGCGAGCGUUAAUCGGAAUUACUGGGCGUAAAGCGUGCGCAGGCGGUUAUGUAAGACAGAUGUGAAAUCCCCGGGCUCAACCUGGGAACUGCAUUAGUGACUGCAUAGCUGGAGUACGGCAGAGGGGGAUGGAAU
rnacentral:rRNA from 1 species